UAAAUUGCCUGAACACCACCUUUGCUCAACUGUACCCGCCUGUUUCCUCGCAGGGACCCACGGGUUCCCCAGCCUCAGGGGCUGGGCCUGAUGGAGGAGGGCACGAUCUUAGCUGUGGUCUCAAGUGUGGACCGGCCCCUCCUUUCCUCCCAAAAUCUCAGCAUGCAAAACAGCUAGUACGAUUCCCCCCUUUCAGGCAGCUCCUCUCCAGCACCCCUGGGUGGCAGAGGCAAGCAGAGAGCAAUGGCUGACGAGGGCACGGCUGACAGGAGCAGCGAGCCUCCCCCGACAGCAAGCGAACACCGUACCUGCAGGCAGGGGCAGGGCUCCUCCCUCACCCACCCAGCACAUCCCUGUCCCAGAGCUACCCUCAGCAGGUACCAGAGGCUCCAAAACCCCCAGGCAUCCCUGGCCUGGCCCAUGCCAUCGGAAGUCCGUGUGACAAGCCUCAUUGGGUUUCGGAGGAGACACAGCCCCCUGCGUCCCAAAUCGAUGGGAGCACUUGGUAUUGCUAAGAGGAUCAAUUCUGGCACUCUCCCACCGUCUCACUUGGGGUUCCUGUUUCACAGGGGUAGGAAGGAAGCAGAAGCACCUGGGAUUUCUAGGAAAGGACUAGAAAAAAGGCUUUCCUUGGGGAGAGGAGUGAGCUGAACCUUUUUUCUUUCAUGAAGAAGAGGUGUUUGAAGAGGAGGUAAGACAGCUGACCAUCAGGUUCACCUCAGACCAACUGUUCUCAGUCUUAAAGGAAACCUGAGGGAAGGUUAUGUGCUGAGAGACAUUUUCCUGCUCCUCUCCCCCAGCUGAACCACCUGAUCUCCACCUAGAUGCAGCUGUGAUACCAGAGCAGCACUCUGCUCUCUUUCCAUCAGCCAUCCUUCUCACUGCUCUUUCCCCCUGUGCCCCAGUGGUCACAUUUCUGGCUCCCAUCUCUUCAUAUGCAGGUGUUUUCUACUUUCAAACCUUUCAGCCAGCCCCUCCUGAAGCCACUCCAGCUCCUUCCUUACGCAGACAGAAGAGACAUGGGGGAAUUUUCUCAAGCACCAGCACGUGGAGCAGGCAGUCAAGUCUCUGUUAGAAAUCCAAGGUUAGCCAUUUCCAAUCCUGAGCCACAUCACCAUCAUUCCUUUGAUAUCCUGGCCAGCACAGAGAAAGAGCCUCAAACCCAAUCUCUCCAGCUUUAAUUUGUAUUAUUACACUCUGGGUAGAGAGAGCUGGACUCAGUUUGCUGCCAUCCUGGCUCCUCUUCUUCUAAGGCACAGGCUACUGUUUUCAAAAGGUUUUUGCCACGUGCGAGUCUCCCCAAGCACUGAAGUUUUACUUUUUCAAGAUCAGAAGGUCCUUGCCAGAGACAAGAGAACAAUUCAGCAAUACCAUGAGCCUUGACCACAUGCCCUCUCGUCAACUACAGUACUGCAUGCAUUUCCCACCUUGUAGCCCAGACAUGCUCCAGCAUCCCCUGUUGAGAGAUACUAGUUGUUUCACUUAAGAGGGGGGGUGCAUGAGUCAAAAGGGUAUAACUGCCCAGGGGUUUCUUUGUUCAGGUCCCCUCUCCACAGGCACCCAGCCAGAGCUGACCUGCUGCGGUACCAUUAAAUUACUUAGUUUUAAAAAUCUGACACCUGACACUCUGCUACAGGAAACAUGGGGUCGACCCCAAAGGAGGAAUCAGCCCGAGAGUUUGUGCGUAAGCAAGGGGUCAAAAAGGGCACCCAUCGGCUCACAGGAGCUGCUCCCCACAAAGGGCCUCUGGUCCCAGCAGUUAAAAGUCUCAGGUGGUGUCUGUGUGAUUUCUUCAAUGGGGUGAAAAUGCUCUCCAUUAGCAUUCUUUGAAACACCCUAAUCUGCAUCUUCAAAAACUGCCUUCUUUGUUCCAAACUUGCUGAACAAAUUAGAUGUCAAGUUUUAAAUGCUUAUUUACACAAAAUAAAAAUCGUGUCUUGGUUUUGUUGA